CAUAUAAUGCCUGAGAUGUUUAGGGGCUAUCUUGAUGUGAUAGAAAGGCUGAAGGGUUUCAGCUUAUAUGA
rnacentral:tRNA from 1 species